rnacentral:rRNA from 1 species
UACGGAGGGUGCUAGCGUUGUUCGGAAUUACUGGGCGUAAAGCGCGUGUAGGCGGUUAGGUAAGUUGGGAGUGAAAUCCCGGGGCUCAACUCCGGAAUUGCUUUCAAAACUACCUGGCUAGAGUUCGGUAGGGGACAGUGGAAUUCCUGGUGUAGAGGUGAAAUUCGUAGAUAUCAGGAGGAACAUCGGAGGCGAAGGCGACUGUCUGGACCGAUACUGACGCUGAGACGCGAAAGCGUGGGGAGCAAACAGG